GGAGUUGUGGCUCAACGGUAGAGCACUCACUUAGUACUUGCGAGGCCCUGGGUUCGAUCCUCAGCACCA
rnacentral:tRNA from 1 species